rnacentral:rRNA from 1 species
GUGGUGCGACGAACCAGGGCUUGCCCUGGGGCUAAGCCGCGAACGGGUGAGUAACACGUGAGUAACCUGCCCCGAUGACCGGGACAACCCGAGGAAACUCGGGCUAAUACCGGAUGUGGCGCACAGGUCUAAGCCUGUUCGCUAAAGGAAGCUUCGGCCUCCGCAUUGGGAGGGGCUCGCGGCCCAUUAGCUUGUUGGUGGGGUAACGGCCUACCAAGGCAACGAUGGGUAGCUGGUCUGAGAGGACGAUCAGCCACACUGGGACUGAGACACGGCCCAGACUCCUACGGGAGGCAGCAGUGGGGAAUNUUGCGCAAUGCGCGAAAGCGUGACGCAGCAACGCCGCGUGGGGGAAGACGGCCUUCGGGUUGUAAACCCCUUUCAGGAGGGACGAAGGUUCACCGGUGAAUAGCCGUGUGGAUUGACGG